UGCAGCUAUGUUUUGUCUUUUGUAACGUUGGCUUUCCAAUCUCUUUAAGUUGUUAUAAACCCAAGUCCCAAACCCCCCAUUUCCCAUAUCAUUCUCAUUCAUAUCAUCAUCAUCAUCAUUGUUAUCAUUAUCAUCUUCAUAUUUCUCUCUCUCUCUCUCCCUCUUUUCUUUCUUAUCCCCCUUGAAGCUAGCCGAGACUCCUGGGGGACAUAAGAGAUAAGAGACACCAAAAGAAAAACAAAACAACAAAAUCUUAAUUUCAAAUCCCUUUUGUUUUUCUUUAUUUAUUUCUUUUAAGAUUUAGGGAUGUGGCUAGAUAUAGCUUAAUCAUAAGCGGAUUUGGCUAUAGAAGAGAAGAAGAAGAUGACGAUGAUGAUGAAGAAGUGGAGCUUUUGUGUUUGCGGGGAACGUUGUCUGGCUCGAGGAUACACUUUUGAUUAUUUGAUCUGUAUUUUUGCAGUCGAUUUGAGUAGUGGGUCGUCGGACCAGGCUUCAUUCCCCCCAAUUAAAAGCUUCCAAAACAAACUCUUUCUCUUUUCCUAGUCGUGCGCUUUAGGUCAUCGCUUAUGUUUUGCAUGUUUAUGUGAAAAGAAGAAGGGUUACACACUAUUGAUGGGAUCUACUUGUGACAAGCCCUGUCAAACAUUAACUGGGAUAAUGACCCUUUUGGCUAGCUUAACAAAAGAAUCGAUGAAUAGGCACCAAGAUCCCAUCUUUAUUUCAGGUCAAGUUAUAUAAUUUUUAGGCUUUAUAGCGUUAUAUAUAGAGAUCUAAUAUUGUUAUUAGCUGCCUAUUUGGCUGUCUUCAACUAGCUUCUUAUCUCCCAAUGAUGUUUUGACACAUCUUUUUCUUUCUUGUUUUGUAAAAUUGAUAACUAUACAUAUGCCUCAGCAGAUGACAAAUCUUUUUGUAUAUAUGUACUUUGUUUUACCUGUAGCAUCAUAAUAUAGAUUGUUUUAAGUAAGCAUAUUGUAUAUUUAUUCACUCAAAACCCUACUUUUGUUCGUCAUUGUGUUAGUAGAUUCGUUUCGUGAUUCAAAACCCUUCAAUAUAUGACAAUGCUUUCUUUUGUAACAAAAUUUCUUUUCCCAAAACUUGGUCUUACCCUUCAUAUAGUUUUCUUUCUUAUUUUAGUUAAUUAUUAGGUGAAAACAUACUGGGUUCGGAUAAUUACCAGGUCAAGGUAACCUUUAUCACUUUGUUCCCCAGAUUCUAUGUGGAUGAAAUACUAUGAAGAAUGAGGUUUCAAAUUAUAAAUGCAUGGUAGUUUAAUUAAGAUAAUGAGAGACUUCUGACAACUACUGAGUAUAUAUAUGUUAUCCAUACUCUCUUUUGGCUUGGACUCUAAUCCAUAGAUUUGAAGUUGUAAGAUUCAACAAAUUGUAUGUCACAUUCAUGUAUACUCAAAGUGAAGUUGUUUAACACAUAUAUCGUAUCAUAAAACCCAGAUAAAUAUAUUUUUGAGAAUCAAGGAAAACUGUUUUAGUUUUGAGAAUCAAGAAAAACUGUUUUGUCAUUAUCAUGACACGAGGCCAAUGUUAACAUUGGCUUUCAUUUUACAACGUUGGUUCUCCUUUCAAUGCUUUCUUGCUGUCCUUUUUUUUUAUUUGGUACGCAGGUAUAGUACAAGAGGAGCCUCGAACCCACUUAAAUAUAUAUAUAUAUAGCACAGACAGGACUGUUAUGCAUGACGAGGAAGGCAAGAUCGAGAGUGUUACAUACAUCUUAGGCCUCUAAGACGAUAGGCGAUAUUGCGUCAGUUAAUAUAGUAUUAUUCAUUCUUUUACAACAUUCAUAAAAAGAAGAAAGAAAAAAAAAGAGAGGUUAAUGAUUUUAAUAUUCUUAUUUUCUGAGUUUAAGAAUCAGUGCAAGUAAAAGUCUAUACAUAUUUCCGUUCCGUAUAUAUAUAUAUAUAUAUCAGAAAGAACCUGUUUUGGAAUAAUUUUUCAGCUUUACUAUGAUCUGUAUUCACUACGAUCUGUUGAAUUAAGAGAACAAACAAGAGCAUUUCUUCUGUUUAA